CUCGUUCCAGCACGAGCCACAGGACAGAGAUUCGUGUGUUAACACUCACUCUGACGCUGAAAGAAAGGAGUGAUUAUUCCCCUUUUACAGAGGAGGAAACUGAGUCUCAGGGGUGUUAACUGCGUGGCCAGCAGUCAAAGAGCUGAGGGGGAUGGAGACGGGAUGUGCGGCCGGUGGGGCUUCCCGGGGCUUGAACUACAGACACCGCAUCCCUGAGGGAGGAUUUCACAUGACCUGCCUGUGGAAAGAAAGAGUCAAGCUGUUUAUCUGUUCUUCAAUGCUAGACAUAAGUGAAGCCACCUCAGACCCUCCAGACAGGCCGCUCUGGCCCCUAAGAACCAACAAAUGACCUCGGUUAGCACUACAAGGAACAGAAGAAUCACCCAGCUGGACCCCGCAUGACUUCCUAACCCACACAAUCAUGAGUUGUAAUAAAUUGGUUGUUUUAA